GUACACUGCUAACUUUUACAACAAGAUGUGUACAAUGCGUAAAAAAUGAGUUCUUACGCGCCAUUUUGACUUUAUGUGUCAAAUGGCAUGUCAAAUGUACGAU